UGCAAGUCGAGCGGGCGUAGCAAUACGUCAGCGGCAGACGGGUGAGUAACGCGUGGGAACGUACCUUUUGGUUCGGAACAACACAGGGAAACUUGUGCUAAUACCGGAUAAGCCCUUACGGGGAAAGAUUUAUCGCCGAAAGAUCGGCCCGCGUCUGAUUAGCUAGUUGGUGAGGUAAUGGCUCACCAAGGCGACGAUCAGUAGCUGGUCUGAGAGGAUGAUCAGCCACAUUGGGACUGAGACACGGCCCAAACUCCUACGGGAGGCAGCAGUGGGGAAUAUUGGACAAUGGGGGCAACCCUGAUCCAGCCAUGCCGCGUGAGUGAUGAAGGCCCUAGGGUUGUAAAGCUCUUUUGUGCGGGAAGAUAAUGACGGUACCGCAAGAAUAAGCCCCGGCUAACUUCGUGCCAGCAGCCGCGGUAAUACGAAGGGGGCUAGCGUUGCUCGGAAUCACUGGGCGUAAAGGGUGCGUAGGCGGGUCUUUAAGUCAGGGGUGAAAUCCUGGAGCUCAACUCCAGAACUGCCUUUGAUACUGAAGAUCUUGAGUUCGGGAGAGGUGAGUGGAACUGCGAGUGUAGAGGUGAAAUUCGUAGAUAUUCGCAAGAACACCAGUGGCGAAGGCGGCUCACUG
rnacentral:rRNA from 1 species